AGAUAGAAUUUGAGAUAAAUGAUUAAGGUAUUAUUAUUACCAGUUGAAGUAGAGCACUUUUCGGCAGUAGACUCAAUUAGCUUGUUCCUUCGUAACGGUUGUGAUAUUAGUGUUCGAACACAAUGUAUCCUGUACGUUUAAAUAUCGCAAUCAUGUGUUUCAUGGCUUGUUUUAUAGCCUACAUGUUACGCGUAAAUUUAUCAAUAACAAUUUUGGCUAUGGUUGUGCCGCGAAAUUUUAACAAUUCGACAUUCGGAAACACCUCAACGUUGAUCAUACCGGAUUAUGGGCCCCGUUAUGCAUGGACUCCUUAUCAGGAAAGUUUACUGUUGGGAGCAUUCUUCUGGGGUUAUCUACUGACGUCAUGUCAGAGUGGGAUUCUUGCCGAAUGGAUUGGUGGGCGUGCUCUGGUGGGCUUUAGCUUAAUCUUAAGCUCAAUAUUUACAGCGAUUGGUCCGCUUGCAGCCUCACUAGAAAACUUUUGGUUCUUAUUCGCUUCACGUUUUCUAGUUGGAGUAUUUGGGGGUCCAAUUUACCCAUCAUUGCAUUAUUUAAUUGCUCACUGGGCACCACCUGACGAAAAAGGAAAAUUCGUUGCCAGCCUAAUGGGAAAUGCAUGUGGCACCAUCAUAACGUUGCCGUUAGUCAGUAUAUUAAUCGAAAAUAUGAAUUGGUCUGUUGGCUUUUACGUACCAGCUGCUAUCUCUUUCGUUACGGCCUUAAUCUGGUUUUAUUUGGUUGCUGACUAUCCAUCCACUCAUCCUCGCAUCGAUUUGAAAGAAAGUAAAUACAUCGAAGAUUCGCUGGCUGGAAAUGUGGUGAAGGAUAAAAGAGUAUUUCCGCCCAUUUUACCGAUGCUAAAGUCUUUGCCAUUGUGGUCACUGUUGCUAUUGCAUUACGGCAAUCUCUGGGGAUUAUUCUUUCUGCUGACUGCCGCUCCCAAAUAUAUGAGCGAAGUACUCAAAUUCAACUUAGCGAAAGCCGGAAUAUUGUCUGCGUUGCCGUAUUUGGCACGUAUGAUGUUUGGAUUUGGUUUCGGUGCUGUCGGUGACGCUUUAUUGAGGAAAAAAAUCUUAUCGAAAACAAUGAUACGGAAAUCAUUUUGUUUGUUCUCCCAUAUAAUACCUGGUUUAUUGUUGGUAACAUUGAGCUACGUGGGUAGCGUAUCAUCAGUUUAUGUAUGUGUCGCAAUCAUAACAUUAUCGUUAGGCUUCAAUGGAGCAUCAACUAUGACAAAUUUACAAAAUCCACAAGACUUAGCACCAAACUAUGCAGGUUCACUUUAUGGUAUUAUUAAUGGUAUCGGCAUCACCUCCGGUUUUAUAACGCCGUUAAUUGUAUCGUAUUUUACUGCUGAACAGAGUACGUCUGAGGAGUGGAAAUGGAUAUUUAUGGUUGGAGCAAUCUUUUAUAUAGCACCGGCCAUUCAGUUUUUGAUUUUCGGAUCAACUGAUGUACAAAAAUGGAAUAAUUCAGAGCGAGCUCCGGUAAAUGAUAAUGUUGAAGGGGGAACGAAGAAAGAGUAGAUUCAAUUUGAUGGAAAGUGGAAGUCGUUGGUGUACGACCUUGGCAUAAUUUCUACGAUUUCAAUGCGAGGACAGUCAUAAGUCUACCUUCAAGCCAAUUUUUUUGUUAGAUUGUUGUUCCAGACUAUUUAUUUUGAGUCUCUGUGUUAUUGAUUGCGUUUGAAUAUUUUUUAUGUUUUAAAUAAAAGUGGCUCUCACAACAACUAUUUUAAUUGUGUAACACACAUACAAAACAAACAAAAAAAAAUUUCCGAUACACUUCGUUCGUUUCGAUAAAUUAUGAAAAUACAAAUAUCAGUUGAAAAAAAUAACUUCGCGCAGAGCGAUGUCAAUAUUUUGUUUAUCGCUGUGACGAAAUCAACGUUCUUUGAUUAGUCAUUAUGUACCCCGUUCGUGUAAAUAUCGCUGUUAUGUGUUUCGUAGGAUGUCUAAUAACCUACAUGCUACGAGUAAAUCUUUCGAUUACCAUACUGGCUAUGAUUGUACCGCGAACAGCGACAUAUAAUAAUUCAACAGAUGGCAAUGGAACGAUUACAAAUGUACCAGAUUAUGGACCACGUUAUUCAUGGUCACCGUAUGAAGAAAGCUUAUUGCUGGGAGCGUAUUUCUGGGGUUAUCUAUUUACUUCAGCGCAGAGUGGUAUGUAAAAUGUGGAAAGUUGAGAUGUUGACCAGGUUAGUUUAGAAUUUAGAGAAUUUGAAAACUUUCCGAGCAUAAAGCUUCAUGAGAAACUUUUGAAAAGCUCCUUUGUUAACGAAAGACUGAGGAACUAAAAUUUCGAACCUGAAAUUAGUUUCAAAAGAUCAACUGAAAAUUUAUGUAAAAUUUCCGAACAAUGCAGGCAUAAUUGCUGAAUGGGUUGGUGGCCGGGCACUGGUUGGCUGU